UGUUUUUAUGGUCUGUGAACAUGAAUAUAUAAAUAUGUCCCCCAACUUAUCGAUGCUGGCUACGCCGCUGCAACAGGGGAGCAGGAUGUUUCAGUUUGGAAUCGCAAAGUGAAAUGAUUUUUGCUUUCAUGCUUCGAAAUUGUUAGCGAUUAAGCCGUUGAAGACUUGAGAGAAUCGUAAGACUCGUUUUCUAAUUUCGCAGAUUUGAAAUAUUUAGAGCGCAUUAUUCGUUUGUAUUUUGAAGUCCAAAACAGGCAUCGAAAUGAAGCCUGCAGCUGAGAGUAGAAGGCGUAACACUAAUACAUGACAGUGCUUUGGCUUGAGGUAAAAGACGCAAUUUUUACGGCGCUUUGAUGAACAUUGGAGCCCAAAUUUGGCUCCAACUUGACCGAUGUUCCGAGCGUUGAAAAUUAAUCCUUUGCUUUGGCCCAGUAAAGCAACGUUUUUUUUUUAAUUUUAAUUUUAAUAGCAAAUUUUCCAUUUUAAAAGCUGCGCGUAUGGUGUCAAGCAAAAUUUCUGCCAAAGAAGAUCGCAUGCAGGUAUUUUUAGUUUCUUAGACAAAGAUCAGUGUUAAUCGCUCCCGAACCGUCGAUUCAUCGAAAGAGAAAGAUGCAAGUGUAUAAUUUUGUAAAACAUAAAAUGUUUGUCUUUAAUUUUGCGUCGUUUUAUAGGUAUGCAACAAGAUUAUGUCUGUAAGUUGCCUGCAUGUAGGUAUAAGCUUCUGUUGGAAGUAUACCUUUACUUUUAUAUUCAUUGCGCAUAUGACUUAUUAACUAAAUCCCCUCAAGGACACUACACUAUAGAAAGAAAAACAAGCUUAACUUAUAGGUUAGUAAAAUCUUUUUCUUGAUUUUGGUUUUAGAAAUAAGAAAUUGUAUAAGGAUCACAUGCGUGCAUGAGCUAAUUCAAAUAUUACUUUUGAGUUUUCAGCAAUGUAAAGGAGUGUCCUUGCAGGCGGUGGCCUUAUUGGAAGGCUUAUUUUUGGAGAAUAAAUAAAUGUAGAUUUGUAAAAUAUAUACGUUUUAUUAAUCAUAUUUUAUAUAUAUUCCUAAUUAUAUCAAAGAAGAUUGAACUGGAAUUUGGACAUGAUGAAGAAGGUAAUAUUUUUUAACAUUUAUACAGUGGAAAUAAACACAAUUAAACAGUUCAGGUUAUUGAAUAUGAUUCUCUUCUUUGAGUUGUCGUGGGAUUCUCUUUACAUAAUGGUUGUUAUUUCUUUAGCAUACUCAUACUAAUUGCUUCCUCCGCACUUUAGUAUUCAGAAUUGAUAGGUGUAAUGCUGCGUGCAUGGAUGUACUUAUACCGACGUAUAAGUUGAGUGAAAGUUGCGUGUAUAAAUCAGAUUCGUUUUGCCUGGAUCAACAAAUGGCACUAGUACGGAGUGAUAUAAGUAGUUAUUAUGCAUUUCUAUAAUAUAAUGUCAAUUGAUGUGACGGAUGUCAAUAAUUUGUGUGCGAAGCAGAAAGUUCAAAGUCAGUCGCUACUUUGGAGAAGACGUUUCUAAAAGAUAUACAGUUGAAAAUAUGUCAGAGUGAAAAUAUAUGAAAAUACGUAAGAGUUUGUUUUCCAUUCAAACAGUGGAAACGAAGCAAGGGAACCAUGAAAAGCGAGUCCUUAAACUUUUGAAGUAAAGUUUGCAGAAAAUGGCCAUACCAGUGAUACCAGCAUCCAAACAUGGCA
rnacentral:lncRNA from 1 species